rnacentral:rRNA from 1 species
UACGAGGGGGGCGAGCGUUGUUCGGAAUUAUUGGGCGUAAAGGGUGCGUAGGCGGCCUGACAAGUCUGAUGUGAAAUCCCUGGGCUCAACCCAGGGCCUGCAUCGGAAACUGUCGGGCUUGAGUAUGGGAGAGGUGAGUGGAAUUUCCGGUGUAGCGGUGAAAUACGUAGAUAUCGGAAGGAACACCUGUGGCGAAAGCGGCUCACUGGACCAUUACUGACGCUGAGGCACGAAAGCUAGGGGAGCAAACAGG